UACGUAGGGACCAAGCGUUGUCCGGAAUCAUUGGGCGUAAAGAGCGUGUAGGCGGCUUGUUAAGUCUUGCGUGAAAUCUCGGGGCUCAACCCCGAGCUGUCGUGAGAAACUGGCAGGCUAGAGUGCGGGAGAGGAGAGUGGAAUUCCUGGUGUAGCGGUGAAAUGCGCAGAUAUCAGGAAGAACACCCGUGGCGAAGGCGGCUCUCUGGAACGCAACUGACGCUGAGACGCGAAAGCGUGGGGAGCAAACAGG
rnacentral:rRNA from 1 species